rnacentral:snRNA from 1 species
GGAUGUGAGGGCGAUCCGGCUGCAACAUCUGUCACCCCAUUGAUCGCCAGGGUUGACUUGGCUGAUCUGGCUGGCUAGGCAGGUGUCCCCUUCCUCCCUCACUGCUCCACGUGCGUCCCUCCUGAAGCUGCAUGCUCGGUGGAAGAGGAUGACCAUCCCAGAUAGAAGGAGUGUACUGAUCUUCUUUGGUGCAAGACUUUUACAUAAAUGAAUACAAGCCCAUAAAAACACCAAUGUAGUUUUGU